AGAGUUUGAUCAUGGCUCAGAUUGAACGCUGGCGGCAUGCCUUACACAUGCAAGUCGAACGGCAGCACGGGAGCAAUCCUGGUGGCGAGUGGCGAACGGGUGAGUAAUACAUCGGAACGUGUCCUGUAGUGGGGGAUAGCCCGGCGAAAGCCGGAUUAAUACCGCAUACGCUCUACGGAGGAAAGGGGGGGAUCUUCGGACCUCUCGCUACAGGGGCGGCCGAUGGCAGAUUAGCUAGUUGGUGGGGUAAAGGCCUACCAAGGCGACGAUCUGUAGCUGGUCUGAGAGGACGACCAGCCACACUGGGACUGAGACACGGCCCAGACUCCUACGGGAGGCAGCAGUGGGGAAUUUUGGACAAUGGGCGAAAGCCUGAUCCAGCAAUGCCGCGUGUGUGAAGAAGGCCUUCGGGUUGUAAAGCACUUUUGUCCGGAAAGAAAACCACCUGGCUAAUAUCCGGGUGGGAUGACGGUACCGGAAGAAUAAGCACCGGCUAACUACGUGCCAGCAGCCGCGGUAAUACGUAGGGUGCAAGCGUUAAUCGGAAUUACUGGGCGUAAAGCGUGCGCAGGCGGUUCGCUAAGACAGAUGUGAAAUCCCCGGGCUUAACCUGGGAACUGCAUUUGUGACUGGCGGGCUAGAGUAUGGCAGAGGGGGGUAGAAUUCCACGUAGCAGUGAAAUGCGUAGAGAUGUGGAGGAAUACCGAUGGCGAAGGCAGCCCCCUGGGCCAAUACUGACGCUCAUGCACGAAAGCGUGGGGAGCAAACAGGAUUAGAUACCCCAGUAGUCC
rnacentral:rRNA from 1 species